GAUACAAUUCCCUCCGUUAAGCUUCAGUUACCAUACCGAAACAUGCAGACUUUAUAAUAAAUGAAGUCAGUUAAAAGCAUCCCGGGAUUGGACAACUUUCUUCACGAAUAUGCAACAUAUUGAAAUUCCGUUUAGGUAUUAUCAAAGAUACAAGUGCGUAGAUUUGUUAAAUAAGGUAAACGGUCGAAAAUUGAUGUUGUUAUGUCUUAAACAGUUGAGGUUCCGUUUGGACAAAACGUUAUUACAGUUUAUCUUUAUCGCCUAGUUUAGGUCAACAGAAAUGAAGACAUUUUAGCAGUCUUAUUUUGUAAAACACUUUCAGUCUCGUUUGUAUUCACCAACAACAACUACGUAUUUAAUGAUAGUUAUUGUCAUAUGACCAGCAUUGUUUUUUCCUCACGCGAUAAAGGUUUGUUGAUGACGACAUUUAGUCAUAAUUUUCGGUGUCAAAAGCAACACUAUUUGCAACUACUGGUGGUGGUGGUUAUCAGGUACUAAACUCAUGAAGCAAAUUCGGCUAUAUAACUCAAGGUUAACCUGCAGCAACCCCGGCAAGUUCGACCACGUCGGUGGAUCAUCUAGAAAACACUCUUUGAGUUCGGUGUCACGUUGGUGGCAUAUCAAUGGAAAAAAUAAAACUCAAGGUUCGCAGCGGCGACCCCGGUGAGUGCGUUCACCAAAGCGCAGCGGUAACAACUCGGGCACUCGUGACUAUGACCACGUGACGGCGACACGUUAUCUAUUACUCAUGGUUGACUGCAGUAACCCCGGUGAGUGCGUUGACCACGUCAACGCACAACUGGGGCACAACUCAGGCACUAGUCGUGAGUUCGUUGCACACGUCUGUGCGGUACAACACAGAACUCGACGUCCUACAUCCGGUCGAAUUCAAGGUUCUUUCUUCAAGCGCACACGAUGCUCUCUAACGUCGUUUAAGACAGGUUUUACACGUUUGCAACCAUAGCUGUUUUUGGUGGCCUGUUUCCUUUCUAGUGUUGGUCUAGUCUUGUGUCAAGCUGUCAUUUUAGUUUUUAUUAGUUUUAGUUACAUUCAUACUCUUUCCAGUGUUAUCGUAAUUCCAUUUAGAUGUUAUCGAAGUUACUGCGUAGUUUUGUUAAAUAAGGUAAACGGUUGAAAAUCGAUGUUAUGUCCGGAACAGUUGAAGUUCCAGUUGAACAAAAUAACGUUAUAAGUCUUUAUCGCCUAGUUUAGGUCAACGAAAAUGAAGAGACAUUUUAGCUUAGCAAUUUAGUCUUAUUUUCGUAAAACACUUUUUUUGUCUUGUUUUAUUCGCCAACUAUAUUGUACUAUGCAUUUAAUCACAGCUAUUGUCACACACCCAGCAUCCACGUUGCGUCCAGUCUCGUUUUUCUCACGCGAUAAAGGUUUGUUGAUGACGACUCUUAGUCAUAAUUUUCAUUGCCAAAAGCAACACUAUUUGCAACUACCGGCGGUGGUGGUUAUCAGGUACUAAAUUCAUGAAGCAAAAUUCGGUUUCAUAACUCAGGUUAACCUGCAGCAACCCCGGCGAGUGUGACCACGUCGGUGGCACGUUAUCUAGUACUCAUGGUUUGACUGCAGUAACCCCGGUGAGUGCGUUGCCCACGUCGGUGGGAACAACUCAAGCACUCGUGAGAUCGUUGCGCACGUCGGUGUGGUACAACACAGAACUCUACGUUCGCUGCAGCAAAUCCGGUGAGUGCGUUGCCCACGUCGAUGGGAACAACUCAAGCACUCGUGAGUUCGUUGCGCACGUCGGUGCGGUACAACACAGAACUUCAUGUUCGCUGCAGCAACCAUGGUAGUGCGUUGACCACGUCGGUGGGCACAACUCAGGCACAUGCAAAUUUAAUUACCACGUCGGUGGCAUAAUAUCAAAAGCUCAAGUGCAGGGCACUCGGAGUUCAUUGACCAUGUCGGUGUUCAACACGGAAGUUCACAAUAUUUGCUGCAGCAACACCGGUGAGUGCGUGACCACGUCGGUGGCACAGCAUGGGCACUCGUGAUUUUGUUGACCACGUUGGUGUUCAACACGGAAGUACACAAUAUUUGCUGCAGCAACACCGGUGAGUGCGUGACCACGUCGGUGGCACAUCAAGGGCACUCAUGAGUUAGUUGACCACAUCGGUGGUUCAAUCCGGUGAGUGCGUUGCCCACGUCGGUGGGAACAACUCAAGCACUCGUGAGUUCGUUGCGCACGUCGGUGCGGUACAACACAGAACUUCAUGUUCGCUGCAGCAACCAUGGUAGUGCGUUGACCACGUCGGUGGGCACAACUCAGGCACAUGCAAAUUUAAUUACCACGUCGGUGGCAUAAUAUCAAAAGCUCAAGUGCAGGGCACUCGGAGUUCAUUGACCAUGUCGGUGUUCAACACGGAAGUUCACAAUAUUUGCUGCAGCAACACCGGUGAGUGCGUAACCACGUCAGUGGCACAGCAUGGGCACUCAUGAUUUCGUUGACCACGUUGGUGUUCAACACGGAAGUACACAAUAUUUGCUGCAGCAACACCGGUGAGUGCGUGACCACGUCGGUGGCACAUCAAGGGCACUCGUGAGUUAGUUGACCACAUCGGUGGUUCAACGCGAAAGCACUCAGGUCACGCAGCGACCCCGGAGAGUGAAUCGACCACGGCAAUUGGUACAGCACGAAAGCACUCGUGGCUCGCUGCGUAACAGCUGCAGAGUGCUCUAAGUUUUAAUUGAUCUCGCUGAGGUAUUUUAAGUCAACUGCUUUUACGUGAUUCAUCGAUCUCGCUGACGGUCUUAAGCUUAUCGUUUUACGGUAUGUAUGAUUGACUCUUAAUUUGUCGUAUAUUGGGUAUGCCUUUUAUCUUCCAGAAGCAGUAUAGAUCCUUGUCCACUUCUUCUACGCGGGUAUGUAUGGUCUCAUUACCCCCUUUCGCUAUUCUAUUUUUGGGGUCGGCUCCGCCCCUGCUAGUCCUGGCAGGAUACGCCGAGUCCGCACGUCACCCUGGAUCAGUGACGGGGCUCAUGCCAAAGAUUUACCAUGCAAAAUAUUCCCAUGUCGUUAUUUAAAUAAAUCCUGUUCAUACUUAUCAGUGAUCGAGUCUUUAUGGGAGAAAUGUUAAGCUUGCUGGUAGUUCUACCAGGAGGACUCAAAUCACGCGCGGCUGGCCACCAAUCACCAGCUACCAAUCACCUGCCUACACCUGCUCUAUAAAGAGUGGUCUAACAUAUGUCUUUGCUGCUCAGGUCUUCGUUCGACGCACCUCCAUCCACCCCACCACCACCAGGUCGGCCUCAGUCUACUUGUCCAGGGGAAGGCUCCGCCCCUGCUAGUCCUGGCAGGAUACGCCGAGUCCGCACGUCACCCUGGAUCAGUGACGGGGCUCAUGCCAAAGAUUUACCAUGCAAAAUAUUCCCAUGUCGUUAUUUAAAUAAAUCCUGUUCAUACUUAUCAGUGAUCGAGUCUUUAUGGG
ensembl:lncRNA